UUUUCAGAUUUUGAAGUUAACUUUAUUUUUGAGGGGUUACCUAAUUGUAAUUGAAAUUACAGUCCUAAUGAACGGUGCUGAUGAAAUUUUUUCAUUAGAAAGAAUGGUCCUAACUUUGACAAUUACUCUUUUUAUUACUCUUUCUUGCUAGAAUACACGGGAGAGCUAUUGAAAUACACAGGAGCCACGUGACACCUUAACACUUACUAAUAAGCAACUGAUGGAAAAUCAACGGGAUUUUGAGCUCCUAGAGUAGCAGGGACUCUUUGUGUCUCUCUUUUCCAGGUUACAUUUCAAAACACACUGCAGGUCAUACUCUUCAAGUAGAAUUUUGAACCCAAUCAGUUGUUCUGAAUGAACAGAAACAAGGUCUUAAAAUGUUUAAUUCAUAUCAUCUUAGGAUAUAAAUAGAACUUAUAUUUAAGCUCUUGAGAGGGAAAAGAACAUCAUGUAGUAUCUGUCAAAUCAUAGAUCUCCUAAAAUCCACCAGAUAUCAAAUAUGAAAGUUAUAUAUGUAUGCACAUAUAGCUAUACAUACAAAACUUAUGUAUUACAUAAUAUACUUUUACAAAGGUUUCUCAAACAUCUAUUUUAUCACACCUUACUUACCUUGUUAAAUCCAGGAAAAACAAAUUAGAAACUCUUUUCACAUGAUAAAAAAUAUUCCCUAUAGAAAAGAGAAAAUCUCAACAAGGAAAAACAAUGCUCUUUACAAGUACAGUAAAACUAACCCUUAUGUUUAUCUUUCAGUCAUGAAAUAGCUCAUUGUCUAAAUAUGGCGUGAGAUGUUUUACAAUAGUUUUAAUUUAGGUUUAUUAUGUUGAAUUUAAGUAUUUCAUUUAAACAUGUAAUUUAGGAUUAUAAUAGUUUUAAUUUGGGUCCAUUCGCAUAGACGAAGUAUCCUACUUUUCCCUCCGGGAAGAAUGCUUUGGUGAAUAGCUCCCCGACGCCCCAGGGGAGCCGCCCCGCAAGCCUUGAGCAAUCGGUUCGGGGCCCCCAUGCUGCACUUUCGGAACGGCCGCCAGCCAGCCCCGGGGUGCCUUCGCGCAACUGGGGGCCUCGGCACGGAAGUUCACCAGAGGGGUACCUCAGUUGCUUAGCUCCGGGAAGUUAAUUUCUCAGAAUAAGGGAGAGGGACCGGGACCGAGACUGCGGGACUCUGGAGCUAGUACCCCACUUCGUUCCGAGAGCAUUUGAGUCUCCGCUUCUUGGGGCCAAAGAUUACGCAAGGGAUCACGGGCCCUCGCCCCCUGCCUGGACAGCACAGGAUUCCCCCUCCCCCAACUUCCCGCCCUUCCCCCACGAUCCGCUUGUCCCCAGUCUGCAGCUCACGUGACUACGUUCGCGCCCCUCCCCCACCCCACGCACAGCUCGGCUACGGAAGCCGCAGAGACCGCACGACCGAGCGCGCAGGAGGCCUCGGCGAGAAGGGAUCUAUAGGCGUCAGGGUGGCCCGUACAGCGCCGGCCAGUUUCCGCUCGAGGAGGUGGGGCUGGGAGUACCUUCGCCAUUCAGCCUCCUCUCACCUCCGCCCGGAGCGGGCGUGGCCCCCAGCCCAGAAGGUCCCCGGCCCGAGCGCAAGGCCCCGCCCCAACGCGUAAAGCAACGUCAGAGACGACGGAGGCAUCUUCCUCCGCCGGGUAGUUCCGCUGCCGGCACUAGAUUCCCUCGUCCCUUCCCCCCUCCCUUUCUGCUCCGGAAAUCCCCCGCCCUUCCCUUCCCGCUCUCAGUGCCCUGGGCCUCGCGCUCUUUUCCAGCUGCUCGUGACGUAGGAAGCAGAACCGGCCUUUUCGGCUCGGGCGGGACGCGCUGAUUGGCUGUCAGGCCUCAGUCACAGAGGGCGAGCUGAGGGUCGAAUGCUUGGGGGGUGGGGCACGUGUUAACACGGGCAGUUCCACCCAACGACCCUCCACCCACCCUUUUAGACUAAGCAGGAGCCGAGGCCUUGGGAGACCGAGCGGCUUGGCCGGGGUCACACCUUCCGUUACUCCGAGGCUCCGAACUCGGUUACUUACCCCUCCCCCCAGCUCUGUCCGCGGGGGAGGGGCGGGGGCUUCCCUCUACAAUGCCGAGCCUGGGGGGCUCAGGUCCAGAGGUGAACCCUGAUACACAGUCGGCGCAAGUAGGAUUCUCCAGACCGGCCAGAGCUAGAGUCAAGUCCCGUCCCUGAAACUCCAGCUAGGGAGAAGUCAGGGGAAGUUAGGGAGUCACUGUUCCCCGAGUCCCCCGGCUCUGAGCUCCGCUCGGGAGGAAGUUUGGAGGUUGACGUCACCCUUCCCUUUCACCCCGCCCCGCCUGGGCGCCCGAAAACUUGCAGUUCCACCGGGGAACCCCAGCCCGGAGCUGAACGUGACGGGGGAGGGAGUUGGGGGGGCUACUAGAGACAGGGAAACUGAGGCCGGCCACCUGGUCGGUGCAGCCUCCCAACUGGCCCGGGGGUCAAGCGACCGGCGGGCGAGCGAGAGCGUGCGUGGGUGUGUGUCUCUCGGAAACAAUUGCUUUGUCCUUGUAUGUGGUCCUCGGUGCUUUCUGUGCAGCAUUGGCCCACGUUGGCAAAAUAAUCCUGCUUAUAGUAUAGAGACUCGGUAAGAACUUCUUCCACAUAUCAAAAAAAACCGGAGAAUUACAUUUCUCCAAACCGCCCUAUGUACCGUAAUAUGUUUGAGCAAUAAACCUUUUUGAAAACUGGACUUUUUAAGUCAAUCCCGCAAAUA